AGAGUUUGAUCCUGGCUCAGGACGAACGCUGGCGGCGUGCCUAAUACAUGCAAGUAGAACGCUGAGGUUUGGUGUUUACACUAGACUGAUGAGUUGCGAACGGGUGAGUAACGCGUAGGUAACCUGCCUCAUAGCGGGGGAUAACUAUUGGAAACGAUAGCUAAUACCGCAUAAGAGUAAUUAACACAUGUUGGUUAUUUAAAAGGAGCAAUUGCUUCACUGUGAGAUGGACCUGCGUUGUAUUAGCUAGUUGGUGAGGUAAAGGCUCACCAAGGCGACGAUACAUAGCCGACCUGAGAGGGUGAUCGGCCACACUGGGACUGAGACACGGCCCAGACUCCUACGGGAGGCAGCAGUAGGGAAUCUUCGGCAAUGGGGGCAACCCUGACCGAGCAACGCCGCGUGAGUGAAGAAGGUUUUCGGAUCGUAAAGCUCUGUUGUUAGAGAAGAACGUUGGUAGGAGUGGAAAAUCUACCAAGUGACGGUAACUAACCAGAAAGGGACGGCUAACUACGUGCCAGCAGCCGCGGUAAUACGUAGGUCCCGAGCGUUGUCCGGAUUUAUUGGGCGUAAAGCGAGCGCAGGCGGUUCUUUAAGUCUGAAGUUAAAGGCAGUGGCUUAACCAUUGUACGCUUUGGAAACUGGAGGACUUGAGUGCAGAAGGGGAGAGUGGAAUUCCAUGUGUAGCGGUGAAAUGCGUAGAUAUAUGGAGGAACACCGGUGGCGAAAGCGGCUCUCUGGUCUGUAACUGACGCUGAGGCUCGAAAGCGUGGGGAGCAAACAGGAUUAGAUACCCUGGUAGUCCACGCCGUAAACGAUGAGUGCUAGGUGUUAGGCCCUUUCCGGGGCUUAGUGCCGCAGCUAACGCAUUAAGCACUCCGCCUGGGGAGUACGACCGCAAGGUUGAAACU
rnacentral:rRNA from 1 species